AGCUACGCGGUGAGCACAAAGCGAACUAUUCUUUCGCCUUUUACUAAAGAAUACUGUGUGCACGCCGCAAAUUGUGGCAUACGCCUAUUUUUGGAUGGGUUCUCUUCAUUGAGUUCC
rnacentral:snRNA from 1 species